CACUGUUUCCCAGAACGGCUCCAUUAGGAAGCUACAUUUCAAGGGCUUCUUUCCUUAUCUCGCAGAACAACUCAUUUGCUGUGGCCCUGAGUGCAUAGGAAAGGUCAAUGCCUACCAGAAAUCUGAGGACUGAGAAGGCUUAUUACGAAGAUGAAAGUGAAAGUAACUUACAUAGAAAAAUAUUCUCUGUAGGGUUGCAUGUUGGUUUUCGACAAAGGACCUGCCUGGCUUUUAGCAAGAGUUAAUGCUGAUAACCUGUCAAAAAAAUAAACAAAAAAAGGAAAGGAAGGAAAACAGAGAAAGAGAAAGAAGAGAAUAGACCAUAGGUAUAAAGAUCUUUCAACAGCAUUACAGCGGCUGGGAGUUUCCUAGGUUGGGGAGGAAGAUACACCACCUGCCACACCAUCACUAAUGGGACUGUGACACUCUUCUCCUGUCAAUCAAUAAAGUCACCAGAAGGAACCUCCAAGGGAGGUGCAUCUUAUCUGAGGCCCACAGCUCCCAAGGCACUGGGCACCUGGAAUCCACUAGAAGGAAAUCAGAGUAACCAGUAAAGGCAUAAAACAAGAGAGCACAGAACCUAAGAAAGUGCCGUACAUGUGACCAGAAGCAGAAGGCCGACACAUCACCAGGCAGCGAAAUACUGGCCAAGUUCCCUUUCACAAGGUGAUGAUUGAUUCGAUUCACUAUGGAUGUUCCAUUUUUGGAGCACAAGCAGCAAAAAAGCCUCCGCACAGCUCCUUCUACCUCAGCACGAAGACACAUGGCUAUCAGAUAACUAGGUUAAGUAUUUCUGAGGCGUGUGGCAGAAUAAAUGAGUCUCGUCUCACCACAGAAAGAAGACACAGCAUGCUUGAAGAGGCUUUUUCAGCUACUAUUCCUAGGAAUGAGGUGGUUUGACACUUCUUAAGUUUUUCUCUGCACCUCUGACCACAAAACAGCACAAUGAUGGGAAAGAGCACACUCCUUCUUUGGACCAAGCUCACGUUUACUCGGAGAGCAAGACUUCAGGGAUCUACGUGUCACCCUAAUGAAGAAACCAAAGACAGUGUCAGAUGAAAUAAAAGAUAGGUCUUGCUUCA
rnacentral:lncRNA from 1 species